CGCCGCUGGUCUGGUUUCGCUUUGGCUGUGAGUGCGCGCCUGCCAGCGUCUGGAGGCUAACACGAGGGAGAGGGAAGGGCCUGGGGGACUGGAAGGUGGCAUUUAAAGGACAAGUGUCUCGGGCCUCCCAGGUGCCUGCUUAAAGAGACCUGGCCCGUGCAGAGCCUGGCGGGCUCAGUGAGUGGAGCGAGCCACUCGAUCUUGGGGUGGGGGAAAAGAGCUUCAUCCGCCGAGUUGGUAGAUUCUGGCGGUGACCUCGCGUCCUCACGGACCACGCGGUUCCGGCGCACUCAGGCAAGAAAUCAUGUUGAAUGGGAAAUCUUUGUGAGCAGUGCCAGAAAGACUUGAGUGAAUGCUCAUACCUUUAGACACAGGAGAACUCAGAAUGGAGAGAACACUUUCGAGAGUAAGGAAUAUGGAAAAGGCUUCCUUUCUCUGCAGGAGAAACCCUGUAGUGGAGACAGACUUCCUGGGUUUAAACAACACAGAAAAAACCAUCUGACUCCAAAUAUUUUGAACUGGAAAACCAACACCCAAGAGAAAACCUUCACAUGCAGUGACAGUGGGAAGGCCUUCUGUGAUCAGUCUUACUUCAAAGGACAAAUGACAACUCACAAUGGAGAAGAAAAAAACCUGUGAAAGCAAGGAAGGUGAGACCUGUUCUUCACGAGUGCAUGAAGAAACUUCCACUGCUAACAGAUUUAUGAAUGUGAGGAAUGUGGUGAAAAUAUUCCUUGUUAUGCAAACCUUUACAUACACAUGUGAAUUGACAGGAGAGAAACCCUAUAAAUAUAAAUGUAAGGGAGUGAGAAGCCUUUGUUACAUCUCCCAAUUUUAAGAGAUAUACAAGAUCUGAUACUGAAGAGAGUACCUUUGUAUGUAAGAAUGUGGAAAGAUUUCCUCAUGUCUUAAUCACACUGGAAUAAAGUGCUACCAGUGUAAGGAAUGUGGGAAAGCCUAUACUGCAUUCUCAAAACAUACGGAACAUACUACAAGCUCACACUAUGGAAAAGCCUUUUAUUUUUAUUUUUAUUUAUUUAUUUAUUUGUUCUACAUACCUAGGAGAGUUAAACACCCAGACAACUUUAUUUUCUGUGUUUAAAACUGUUGAAACAAUAGCUUAUCAUUCAGCUACAGAUCUGGAGCUGCCUCUUUCAUGGAGAAGCCUUUUAAAUGUGACAAACAGGAGAGCCUUUACUGCUUCUUCGUGUUUUAUUAAUCCUCUCAGAACUCACAAUGGAGAGAAACUGAGGGUAGUCUGUGUGUGGGAAAGCAUUUGCCAGUUUCCACUUUAUCACUUACAUACAUACUCACACUGGAGAGAAUUACUAUGACUAAUAAAAGUGGGAGAGCUUUUAUUGUUGCCUCAAAAGUAGCACAACCUUUUAAGAAUUCAUACUGGAGAAAACCCUUAUAAGUGUAAGGAAUGUGGGAAAACCUUCAUUAGUUAAAACUGUUGAAACAAUAGCUUAUCAUUCAGUUUUCAUUAGUUAUUUUUCUCUUGGUAAAUAUAAAACAUUGUACUCUGGAGAAGUACUUCAAAUGUAAGGAAUAUAGAAAACCCUUCCAAAAUUAUUCAUGUUUUAAUCCAAUUGAAGGGCGCUUGGGUGGCUCCGUGGGUUAAACCUCUGCCUUCGGCUCAGGUCAUGUCAGGGUCCUGGGUUGGAGCCCUGCACUGGGCCUUCUGCUCAUCAGGGAGCCUGCUUGCCUGCCUCUCUGCCUACUUGUGAUCUCUGUCUGUCAAAUAAAUAAAAUCUUUUUUAAAAAUCC